rnacentral:rRNA from 1 species
UACGUAGGGUGCGAGCGUUGUCCGGAAUUAUUGGGCGUAAAGAGCUCGUAGGCGGUCUGUCGCGUCGGUCGUGAAAACUUGGGGCUUAACCCUGAGCUUGCGGUCGAUACGGGCAUGACUGGAGUUCGGUAGGGGAGACUGGAAUUCCUGGUGUAGCGGUGAAAUGCGCAGAUAUCAGGAGGAACCCCGGUGGCGAAGGCGGGUCUCUGGGCCGAUACUGACGCUGAGGAGCGAAAGCGUGGGGAGCGAACAGG